GACGAACGCUGGCGGCGUGCUUAACACAUGCAAGUCGAACGGAAAGGCCCUGCUUUUGUGGGGUACUCGAGUGGCGAACGGGUGAGUAACACGUGAGUAACCUGCCCUUUACUUUGGGAUAACUUCAGGAAACUGGGGCUAAUACCGGAUAGGAGCUCCUGCUGCAUGGUGUGGGUUGGAAAGUUUCGGCGUUUCGGGAUGGACUCGCGGCUUAUCAGCUUGUUGGUGGGGUAGUGGCUUACCAAGGCUUUGACGGGUAGCCGGCCUGAGAGGGUUACCGGCCACAUUGGGACUGAGAUACGGCCCAGACUCCUACGGGAGGCAGAAGUGGGGAAUAUUGCAAAAUGGGCGGAAGCCUGAUGCAGCAACGCCGCGUGCGGGAUGACGGCCUUCGGGUUGUAAACCGCUUUCGCCUGUGACGAAGCGUGAGUGACGGUAAUGGGUAAAGAAGCAACGGCUAACUACGUG
rnacentral:rRNA from 1 species